GUAGGGAAUAUUGCACAAUGGGGGAAACCCUGAUGCAGCGACGCCGCGUGAAGGAAGAAGUAUCUCGGUAUGUAAACUUCUAUCAGCAGGGAAGACAAUGACGGUACCUGACUAAGAAGCCCCGGCUAACUACGUGCCAGCAGCCGCGGUAAUACGUAGGGGGCAAGCGUUAUCCGGAUUUACUGGGUGUAAAGGGAGCGUAGACGGAUGGGCAAGUCUGAAGUGAAAGGCAGGGGCUCAACCCCUGGACUGCUUUGGAAACUGUCCAUCUAGAGUGCCGGAGAGGUAAGUGGAAUUCCUAGUGUAGCGGUGAAAUGCGUAGAUAUUAGGAGGAACACCAGUGGCGAAGGCGGCUUACUGGACGGUAACUGACGUUGAGGCUCGAAAGCGUGGGGAGCAAACAGGAUUAGAAACCCCAGUAGUCC
rnacentral:rRNA from 1 species